rnacentral:rRNA from 1 species
AGUACGUGAAACCGCUUAGGGGUUAAGCCCGAUGAACCUGAAUAUCUGAAUUGAGAAAUUCAAUACUGUUAUAGUAUGACGGUAUGCACUUUUCUCAUAGUAAGACAUUGCGAUCCAUUAGUAGUCAUUUCAAUAUGACGGUUUAUCAAACGGCCCGUAUAGUCAGUUUAAUCUAUCUGCAGUAAUUUAUUAUUGUAUGGUUAAUGCUAUUGCGGUGACCUGGUAAACAGCUGAUGGAGCUUAGAAAUCAUGCAACCAUGCAUUAUGUAUCACGGUCCGCAAAUAUUCUAUAUAUGUGGAUGCAGUGAUAGCAUGUAUUUGAUUAGCAAUGCGAUAGAUUUGGGAGACCUUCGGGACCCGUCUUGAAACACGGACCAAGAAGUCUAACAUGUGUGUAAGUCAUUGGGUAUUUUUAUUGAAACCUAAAGGCGUAAUUAAAAUAACUAUUUUAAUGGGAUUACAAGCAAUCAAAUGCGAUUGUUUCUCCAUCCCGGGGCGUUCUAUAUGAACAUGGUUCAAGCAAUUGAAUCCUCUGUUCGAGAGCGUACCUUGAACAUACAUGCUGUGACCC